rnacentral:rRNA from 1 species
CCCUUAGAUGUUCUGGGCCGCACGCGCGCUACACUGAUGCAUUCAACGAGUCUAAAACCUGCUCUGAUAGGGGUGGGUAAUCUUUUGAAUGUGCAUCGUGAUUGGGAUAGAUGAUUGCAAUUUUUCAUCUUCAACGAGGAAUGCCUAGUAAACGCAAGUCAUCAGCUUGCAUUGAUUACGUCCCUGCCCUUUGUACACACCGCCCGUCGCUCCUACCGAUUGAAUGAUCCGAUGAAUAUCAUGGAUUGAGGAUGCAAGUAGGUUCGCCUAUCUUCAUCUUCGAGAAGUGAAGUAAAUCUUAUCAUUUAGAGGAAGGAGAAGUCGUGACA